AUAUCAAAUGAGUCAGGGACAUUGCCAUGAUGAAUAUUGGUGACAACAGCAGGAGCUGGAGGGGAGAGCAGGGAGAAUUGAAAGUGUAAACUCUGGAAGUGGAAAAUCUUAAGUCUUUCCCACGAUGUGGUCCUGCUGCUGGAGAGGAUGCUAUGCUAUGAUGAGAUCUCCUGGUCCAGCCUGAUAUCUCCCUGACUCAAUGGGAGGGGUCUCCAGGGGCCACCUGGAGCCUGAGGUGUUCAGGGGCUACAGCUUCACCCUCACUUAUUCCACUCAGCCACAGUACCCAGGAGGCUCUUUCCACUUCACGUUCACCAGCUCCAACAGAACCCAGACAGCUGUAAAUCACUCUGCUGCCUUCCUCUUCCCUGCUGUAGAUGACUCCCACCAAAGGAAUUACAGCUGUGUUUAUGAGAAUUAUGUUUUCUCUCAUAACUUCUACUCUGAGAGUGAGUUCCUCUCCCUCACAGCCUCUCCUCUGCCCACCUUCAUCAUCAGACAUGUUGUAGUGCUGCUGAUCCUACUGACAGCCAUCACUGCCUUCUACCUGUACUUCAAGAAUACACUCUGAGAACAGAGAAGCCAACAGCCAAACAUUCAGAGUAGAAGAUGGAGUGAAGUACACCAGAGAUGGAGAGGAAAGAAGGAGUGAGAGAAGGACUUAAAAGGAGAGAGCCAGGAUAGAGAGAGUGAGAAGAAGAAGAGAGGAUGAGGGUAUGUUAAGAGUGAAGGGGAAGGAGAGGUUAGAGAGGAUGAGGGCAUGUUAAGAGUGAAGGGGAGGUUAGAGAGGCUGAGGGAAGGAGAGGUUAGAGAGGAUGAGGUGAUGUGAAGAGGAAGGAGAGGUUAGAGAGGAUGAGGGGAUGUGAAGGGGAAGGAGAGGUUAGAGAGGAUGAGGGGAUGUUAAGGGGAAGGAGAGGUUAGAGAGGAUAAGGUGAUGUGAAGAGGAAGGAGAGGUUAGAGAGGAUGAGGGGAUGUUAAGAGUGAAGGGGAGGUUAGAGAGGCUGAGAGCAUGUUAAGGGGGAGGAGAGGUUAGAGAGGAUGAGGGGAUGUGAAGGGGAAGGAGAGGUUAGAGAGGAUGAGGGGAUGCUAAGGGGAAGGAGAGGUUAGAGAGGAUGAUGGGAUGUGAAGGGGAAGGAGAUGUUAGAGAGGAUGAGGGGAUGUGAAGGGGAAGGAGAGGUUAGAGAGGAUGAGGGGAUGUGAAGGGGAAGGAGAGGUUAGAGAGGAUGA
rnacentral:lncRNA from 8 species